ACACGGUACCUCACUAACUUACCGACGCCCCCAAUUACUCAAAAUUAUGUAAAAUGAACCCGGAGUUUUACUACAUAUUUUUAUUUUAAUUUAAGUAACUUUUAUUUUAUGUAUUUGGACCACAUGACCUCACCCCUAAUGCAUUCUUGACAUGAAAAGAAUAAUAAAUCAAAAUUAAUAAAAAUUCAUUUAGAUAAGAAAAUGCAAUGUAUUUUAAAUAAAGAUAAUCCGCGAUAAAAGAUAACAGAAAUUCCAGCAGUAAUUAAUUUUCUCAAAACUUUCACCGAAACCCAACAACUUUUGGGUCAAACUUUUUCAAUUAAUUGCCUAUAAUCAGACACCAGAAUAAAGAAUGACGUCAGUAGUAUCAACGUUCAUACCCGCCUUAGAACCACCAUGACCAGCCCGAUCCGAAAUCUCUCCGCCACCGCCACCGCCACCGACGGAGAAGCCGCCAUGUGGGUGAUUGUUCUGGUGGUGGUGGUUGUCAGCCGGAGGAUGGUAGUACAUACGCGCCGUCUGGGGGCAGUGAGAAUGAAAUCUUGCCACUAUUCUAACCCCUACAUCCAAUAACUCCAUAUACUUAGCCAUCUCUUUUCUUGAUUUCUCUCUAUAUAUCUGUAUAUCUAUAUAUCUAUAAUCUCUCUAUAUAUAUGACUUUCUCUCUCUAAAAUUUUGCUUUCUGUGAUGAGAGAGAAAGGAAAGAAGGCAAAUAAUGCUAGAAAACUGCCCAAACGUAAGAUCCCAUGAAAAGAAGAGACUUUGCUUGAGAGGAAAGGGGAUGAAUAUAUUGGCGUUUAUAUAGCUAGUUUUGGGUUUAUUUUUGUCAAUUUUCAUAUUUGUCCAUUUGGUUUUCCUGUAU
rnacentral:lncRNA from 1 species